UACAGAGGGUGCGAGCGUUAAUCGGAAUUACUGGGCGUAAAGCGUGCGUAGACGGUUAUUUAAGUCGGAUGUGAAAGCCCCGGGCUCAACCUGGGAAUUGCAUUCGAGACUGAAUAGCUAGGGUACGGUAGAGGGAAGCGGAAUUUCCGGUGUAGCGGUGAAAUGCGUAGAUAUCGGAAGGAACGCCGGUGGCGAAAGCGGCACACUGGAUCUCAACUGACGCUGAGGCACGAAAGCCAGGGGAGCGAACGGG
rnacentral:rRNA from 1 species